rfam:Camelus ferus unplaced genomic scaffold scaffold441, whole genome shotgun sequence.
GCAGGGGUACAGCUCAGGGGUAGAGCACGUGCUUAGCACGCACGCGGUCCAGGGUUUAAUCCCCAGUCCCUCCG